rnacentral:rRNA from 1 species
GACGAACGCUGGCGGCGUGCUUAACACAUGCAAGUCGAACGGAAAGGCCCUGCUUUUGUGGGGUGCUCGAGUGGCGAACGGGGGAGUAACACGUGAGUAACCUGCCCUUGAUUUUGGGAUAACUUCAGGAAACUGGGGCUAAUACCGGAUAGGAGCUCCCGCUGCGUGGUGGGGGUUGGAAAGUUUCGGCGGGUGGGGAUGGACGCGCGGCUUAUCAGCUUGUUGGUGGGGUAGUGGCUUACCAAGGCUUUGACGGGUAGCCGGCCUGGGAGGGUGACCGGCCACCUUGGGACUGCGAUACGGCCCAGACUCCUACGGGAGGCAGCAGUGGGGAAUAUUGCACAGUGGGCGGAAGCCUGAUGCAGCAACGCCGCGUGCGUGAUGACGGCCUUCGGGUUGUAAACCGCUUUCGCCUGUGACGAAGCGUGAGUGACGGUAAUGGGUAAAGAAGCACCGGCUAACUACGUG